GUUUCAGGUUUUGGAGUCCGUUUGUGUUUCAGGUCCAAGGGAGAGCGAGAGGAUUGUUGGCUUCCAGGUGAGAGUUUCCAGGAGGAGUCCACAUACACAAGUCCUUAAGCUCCAACAAAAUUACCAAUGUCACUGAAUAAUCCGGCGAGGAAUGGAUCACUUCCAGGAGCUUAAAUGCCAGCUGCUCUCAUCAGCAGGAUCCAGGACAGAGAAGAGCAGUGGAGAGUCCCC